rnacentral:rRNA from 1 species
GCAUGUGCGCGAGUCAUUGGGACUCUGUUAAACCUAAAGGCGCAAUGAAAGUAAAGGUCCGCCUCGCGCGGACCGAGGGAGGAUGGGCCCGUCCACGGACGGACCCCGCACUCCCGGGGCGUCUCGUCCUCAUCGCGAGGAGAGGCGCACCCAGAGCGUACACGCUGGGACCCGAAAGAUGGUGAACUAUGCCUGGUCAGGACGAAGUCAGGGGAAACCCUGAUGGAGGUCCGUAGCGAUUCUGACGUGCAAAUCGAUCGUCGGAACUGGGUAUAGGGGCGAAAGACUAAUCGAA